rnacentral:misc_RNA from 1 species
CCAUAGUUGUUCACCCGAGCCUUCACUGUGGUCAAGGGGUCAAGUGCAUGCUGUGUGCCAAUAGUCAAUGUGUUCUCAUUGCUUGAAAAACUGUGUGUCAGCUCUGCACCAACAGCUGUAUUAGUCAAUGGGCUCACUGCGUGGUAAUAGGAAGCAGUAAGAGUAUCCCCUUUAUCAUUCAAUGUGAGAGAAGCAAUAAGAUCAGCAUUGGUAUAAUUCAACCCUGCAUUCAAUUU